rnacentral:pre_miRNA from 1 species
GUGGGGAGGCCGGAUCCUGGGUGUGUCCCGGCGCCCUGUGCUCAGGAGCCUGCGCUGUUGGAUUCGCGCUCCCGGCCCGCAGCCCCCU